AGAAUGUAGAGUUAAACACAAUUACAUUACACAAAUUAAAAAUCCCAAGAAAAACCCUAAAUUCCAAGAAACACAGUAGCAAUCACUCAAAAAUUUCAAUUACCAGUAAUUAAAGAUCAUCUUCCAUCCUCAAAUACUCUCCAAUAUCAGCUUGAUGAAGCACUACAAUUCCAUUCGGAUCCAUUUUCCGGCAAUCCUGAGUACUCUUCGCUGCAACCCCAAAUCCCAAUGGCACAUCCGACAUCGAAAACACAACCACACCAUCAUGAUCACUAAUACUCUCUGUAAUCCUUCCAACUCCACCUUUCAAUACAUUAUUUCCAUAAAGAAAACUCAUCUCAGACGUGGGUUUCAGCCACACUUUGUGUUUCGCGUGUGCAGCUAAGAGACCCAAACAUUGAACCGUGAGAUGAAAUUUACCUCCCUUGGUGAAUUUCCCUAACUGGGUUCCCAGCGAAACUAAGUUAUCUCGCUUUACGUUGGUUGCUCGCUUGACCAGAGAUUCUGAUACGUAGUAAACUCUGUUUCUCUGGAGACGAAAGCAGUAACGGCCGGGAGUGUUGUCGGUACCUUCGUGAGAUGGGUUUUCCACUAUGUUCUUCAGAUUGUUUCCGACGAAUUUGUGUAGCUUUUCGAACACCUGUGUUGUUUCUUGCUCAUCU
rnacentral:misc_RNA from 1 species